UGUGUGUGUGUGUGUGUGUGUGUGUGUGUGUGUGUGCAUAUAUGUUUUCACGUGUGUAUGAAUACACACACGCACACAUACACACACAAAAA
rnacentral:pre_miRNA from 1 species